rnacentral:rRNA from 1 species
UACGUAGGGGGCUAGCGUUAAUCGGAAUUACUGGGCGUAAAGGGUGAGUAGGCGGAAGUACAAGUUAGAUGUGAAAUACCUGGGCUUAACCUGGGAGGUGCAUUUAAGACUGUAUAUCUAGAGUCUGUUAGAGGGGGGUAGAAUUCCAAGUGUAGCAGUGAAAUGCGUAGAGAUUUGGAGGAAUACCGAAGGCGAAGGCAGCCCCCUGGGAUAAGACUGACGCUGAGUCACGAAAGCGUGGGUAGCAAACAGG